rnacentral:snoRNA from 1 species
AAUGGGCAUAUGAUGAAUCUUAUCGUCAAAUGGGUAAUUUGCGUCUGAAUUUUAAUUGAUGCUAUCACCUUGGAGAACUGAUGCCCACA